UACAGAGGUGGCAAGCGUUGUUCGGAAUUACUGGGCGUAAAGGGCGCGUAGGCGGCCUUCUAAGUCAGACGUGAAAUCCCCCGGCUUAACCUGGGAACUGCGUCUGAUACUGGAGGGCUUGAGUGCGGGAGAGGGAUGUGGAAUUCCAGGUGUAGCGGUGAAAUGCGUAGAUAUCUGGAGGAACAUCAGUGGCGAAGGCGACACCCUGGACUCAUACUGACACUGAGGUGCGAAAGCGUGGGGAGCAAACAGG
rnacentral:rRNA from 1 species